GACGAACGCUGGCGGCGUGCUUAACACAUGCAAGUCGAACGGAAAGGCCCUGCUUUUGUGGGGUGCUCGAGUGGCGAACGGGUGAGUAACACGUGAGUAACCUGCCCUUGACUUUGGGAUAACUUCAGGAAACUGGGGCUAAUACCGGAUAGGAGCUCCUGCUGCAUGGUGGGGGUUGGAAAGUUUCGGCGGUUGGGGAUGGACUCGCGGCUUAUCAGCUUGUUGGUGGGGUAGUGGCUUACCAAGGCUUGGACGGGUAGCCGGCCUGAGAGGGUGACCGGCGACAUUGGGACUGAGAUACGGCCCAGACUCCUACGGGAGGCAGCAGGGGGGAAUAUUGCACAAUGGGCGGAAGCCUGAUGAAGCAACGCCGCGUGCGGGAUGACGGCCUUCUGGUUGUAAACCGCUUUCGCCUGUGACGAAGCGUGAGUGACGGUAAUGGGUAAAGAAGCACCGGCUAACUACGUG
rnacentral:rRNA from 1 species